AAAUAGAACUUUGCAGAGAGAGUUAACAGGGCGUGAAACCGUUAAUUGGCAAACGAAUCGGAGCCACGAAGUCGUUUCGCUGGAGUUGGGCCAGGUUCAGCGGGCAUCGCAAGGUGUCCGUGUACUUCUGGUUUGACCCAAUGUUUACGUACACUGCAACCAGUUGGACAAUUGGCGAUGGGCCCAGCCGUCCGAGUUAGUGGUGGCUUGCUACCGAGCUCGCGUCGCGUGAACUAUCGGCCAAACACUGACUGGCAAAAGUAAAAUCGCUCCGGCGUUUUAAAGAAGGCGCUGGCCGUUUCGGGUGUCUACACAUUUGGCCGCGCGGUCUUAAGCUCAGCAUUUUUGAAUUUGGACUUGCUUGCUACCAGUUGGGGCAACCCCUGGUGCUUGUAUAGCUUCCAUCUAAUCGGAUGUUGACUUGGCCGCGCGAAGUGCGGGUGUGCUACGUUAGGCGCUCGAAACAGGUCAGUCGCAAUCGAUUGGCAGUGAGUAGGUCGGCUUUCCGAACGACCCGUCUUGAAACACGGACCAAGGAGUCUAGUUAGGCAUCGAGUCGAUCGGUCUUGAAUAGGCCAGAUGGUGGGUUUCCCACGAAUGAAGGCGAAGAGACAUGUGAUCGUUUGGGCAACAACAGCCCGAGCGCGCAACAUGUGCCUGUUCGUAUAGCAGUGUAAGCAAUCCCUGCUGGCGGAGCAAAGAGAUGCCUGAUUGGUACCCGAAAGAUGGUGAGCUUGGGCAGGUUGAAGCCAGAGGAAACUCUGGUGGAGGGCCGUAGCGAUUCUGACGUGCAAAUCGAUCGUCAGACCUGAGUAUAGGGGCGAAAGACUAAUCGAACCAUC
rnacentral:rRNA from 1 species